rnacentral:rRNA from 1 species
GUUAAGUCCCGCAACGAGCGCAACCCCUAUCUUCAGUAGCCAGCAUUUAAGGUGGGCACUCUGGAGAGACUGCCAGGGAUAACCUGGAGGAAGGUGGGGAUGACGUCAAAUCAUCAUGCCCCUUAUGACCAGGGCUACACACGUGCUACAAUGGCGUAAACAAAGGGAAGCGAGACUGUGAGGUGGAGCAAAUCCCAAAAAUAACGUCUCAGUUCGGAUUGUAGUCUGCAACUCGACUACAUGAAGCUGGAAUCGCUAGUAAUCGCGAAUCAGCAUGUCGCGGUGAAUACGUUCCCGGGUCUUGUACACACCGCCCGUCACACCAUGGGAGCCGGAAAUGCCCGAAGUCAGUGACCCAACCUUAAAGGAGGGAGCUGCCGAAGGUGGAGCCGGUAACUGGGGUGAAGUCGUAACAAGGUAGCCGUA